AGAGUUUGAUCAUGGCUCAGGAUGAACGCUAGCGGCAGGCCUAAUACAUGCAAGUCGAACGGUAAAUAGAUCAGCAAUGGUCUAUGAGAGUGACGCACGGGUGCGUAACACGUAUGCAACCUACCCUUUACAGGAGUAUAGCUCGGGGAAACUCGAAUUAACACUUCAUAGUAUAAUUGAAUGGCAUCAUUUGAUUAUUAAAUCUGCGGAGGUAAAGGAUGGGCAUGCGUCUGAUUAGCUAGUUGGUAGUGUAAUGGACUACCAAGGCGAUGAUCAGUAGGGGAACUGAGAGGUUGAUCCCCCACACUGGCACUGAGAUACGGGCCAGACUCCUACGGGAGGCAGCAGUAGGGAAUAUUGGUCAAUGGGUGAGAGCCUGAACCAGCCAUGCCGCGUGCAGGAAGACGGCCUUCUGGGUUGUAAACUGCUUUUGUCAGGGGAUAAAAUUUCCUUGCGAGGAAAAUUGAAGGUACCUGGCGAAUAAGCCACGGCUAACUACGUGCCAGCAGCCGCGGUAAUACGUAGGUGGCAAGCGUUGUCCGGAUUUAUUGGGUUUAAAGGGUGCGUAGGCGGUCUAUUAAGUCAGUGCUGAAAUAUUCCGGCUUAACCGGGAGGGUGGCAUUGAUACUGAUGGGCUAGAGUACAGAUGAGGUAGGCGGAAUUGACGGUAGCGGUGAAAUGCUUAGAUAUCGUCAAGAACACCUAUAGCGAAGGCAGCUUACUAGGCUGUAACUGACGCUGAGGCACGAAAGUGUGGGGAUCAAACAGGAUUAGAUACCCUAGUAGUCC
rnacentral:rRNA from 1 species